rnacentral:rRNA from 1 species
GACGAACGCUGGCGGCGUGCUUAACACAUGCAAGUCGAGCGGUAAGGCCCUUCGGGGUACGACGAGCGGCGAACGGGUGAGUAACACGUGGGUGACCUGCCUCUAGCUCUGGGAUAAGCCUGGGAAACUGGGUCUAAUACCGGAUAUGACUCCACGGCGCAUGUUGUGGGUGGAAAGCCUUGUGUGGCUAGAGAUGGGCCCGCGGCCUAUCAGCUUGUUGGUGGGGUGAUGGCCUACCAAGGCGACGACGGGUAGCCGGCCUGAGAGGGCGACCGGCCACACUGGGACUGAGACACGGCCCAGACUCUACGGGGGCAGCAGUGGGGAAUCUUGCGCAAUGGGCGAAAGCCUGACGCAGCGACGCCGCGUGAGGGAUGACGGCCU